rnacentral:rRNA from 1 species
GGAAUAUUGGGCAAUGGGCGAAAGCCUGACCCAGCAACGCCGCGUGAAGGAAGAAGGUUUUCGGAUUGUAAACUUCUGUUAUAGGGGAAGAAAAAGAUGACGGUACCCUAUGAGAAAGCUACGGCAAACUAUGUGCCAGCAGCCGCGGUAAUACAUAGGUAGCGAGCGUUAUCCGGAAUAACUGGGCGUAAAGGGAGUGUAGGUGGCGAUUUAGGUCUUAUGUGAAAGCCCAUGGCUUAACUGUGGGAUUGCAUAAGAAACCGGGUUGCUAGAGUGCGAGAGAGGCAAGUGGAAUUCCUAGUGUAGCGGUAGAAUGCGUAGAGAUUAGGAGGAACACCAGAGGCGAAGGCGACUUGCUGGCUCGCAACUGACACUGAGACUCGAAAGCGUGGGGAGCAAACA